rnacentral:rRNA from 1 species
GGGUUGUGAGGUUAAGCGACUAAGCGUACACGGUGGAUGCCCUGGCAGUCAGAGGCGAUGAAGGACGUGCUAAUCUGCGAUAAGCGUCGGUAAGGUGAUAUGAACCGUUAUAACCGGCGAUUUCCGAAUGGGGAAACCCAGUGUGAUUCGUCACACUAUCAUUAACUGAAUCCAUAGGUUAAUGAGGCGAACCGGGGGAACUGAAACAUCUAAGUACCCCGAGGAAAAGAAAUCAACCGAGAUUCCCCCAGUAGCGGCGAGCGAACGGGGAGGAGCCCAGAGCCUGAAUCAGUGUGUGUGUUAGUGGAAGCGUCUGGAAAGGCGCGCGAUACAGGGUGACAGCCCCGUACACAAAAAUGCACAUACUGUGAGCUCGAUGAGUAGGGCGGGACACGUGGUAUCCUGUCUGAAUAUGGGGGGACCAUCCUCCAAGGCUAAAUACUCCUGACUGACCGAUAGUGAACCAGUACCGUGAGGGAAAGGCGAAAAGAACCCCGGCGAGGGGAGUGAAAAAGAACCUGAAACCGUGUACGUACAAGCAGUGGGAGCCUCUUUAUGGGGUGACUGCGUACCUUUUGUAUAAUGGGUCAGCGACUUAUAUUCUGUAGCAAGGUUAACCGAAUAGGGGAGCCGAAGGGAAACCGAGUCUUAACUGGGCGUUAAGUUGCAGGGUAUAGACCCGAAACCCGGUGAUCUAGCCAUGGGCAGGUUGAAGGUUGGGUAACACUAACUGGAGGACCGAACCGACUAAUGUUGAAAAAUUAGCGGAUGACUUGUGGCUGGGGGUGAAAGGCCAAUCAAACCGGGAGAUAGCUGGUUCUCCCCGAAAGCUAUUUAGGUAGCGCCUCGUGAAUUCAUCUCCGGGGGUAGAGCACUGUUUCGGCAAGGGGGUCAUCCCGACUUACCAACCCGAUGCAAACUGCGAAUACCGGAGAAUGUUAUCACGGGAGACACACGGCGGGUGCUAACGUCCGUCGUGAAGAGGGAAACAACCCAGACCGCCAGCUAAGGUCCCAAAGUCAUGGUUAAGUGGGAAACGAUGUGGGAAGGCCCAGACAGCCAGGAUGUUGGCUUAGAAGCAGCCAUCAUUUAAAGAAAGCGUAAUAGCUCACUGGUCGAGUCGGCCUGCGCGGAAGAUGUAACGGGGCUAAACCAUGCACCGAAGCUGCGGCAGCGACGCUUAUGCGUUGUUGGGUAGGGGAGCGUUCUGUAAGCCUGCGAAGGUGUACUGUGAGGUAUGCUGGAGGUAUCAGAAGUGCGAAUGCUGACAUAAGUAACGAUAAAGCGGGUGAAAAGCCCGCUCGCCGGAAGACCAAGGGUUCCUGUCCAACGUUAAUCGGGGCAGGGUGAGUCGACCCCUAAGGCGAGGCCGAAAGGCGUAGUCGAUGGGAAACAGGUUAAUAUUCCUGUACUUGGUGUUACUGCGAAGGGGGGACGGAGAAGGCUAUGUUGGCCGGGCGACGGUUGUCCCGGUUUAAGCGUGUAGGCUGGUUUUCCAGGCAAAUCCGGAAAAUCAAGGCUGAGGCGUGAUGACGAGGCACUACGGUGCUGAAGCAACAAAUGCCCUGCUUCCAGGAAAAGCCUCUAAGCAUCAGGUAACAUCAAAUCGUACCCCAAACCGACACAGGUGGUCAGGUAGAGAAUACCAAGGCGCUUGAGAGAACUCGGGUGAAGGAACUAGGCAAAAUGGUGCCGUAACUUCGGGAGAAGGCACGCUGAUAUGUAGGUGAAGUCCCUCGCGGAUGGAGCUGAAAUCAGUCGAAGAUACCAGCUGGCUGCAACUGUUUAUUAAAAACACAGCACUGUGCAAACACGAAAGUGGACGUAUACGGUGUGACGCCUGCCCGGUGCCGGAAGGUUAAUUGAUGGGGUUAGCGGUAACGCGAAGCUCUUGAUCGAAGCCCCGGUAAACGGCGGCCGUAACUAUAACGGUCCUAAGGUAGCGAAAUUCCUUGUCGGGUAAGUUCCGACCUGCACGAAUGGCGUAAUGAUGGCCAGGCUGUCUCCACCCGAGACUCAGUGAAAUUGAACUCGCUGUGAAGAUGCAGUGUACCCGCGGCAAGACGGAAAGACCCCGUGAACCUUUACUAUAGCUUGACACUGAACAUUGAGCCUUGAUGUGUAGGAUAGGUGGGAGGCUUUGAAGUGUGGACGCCAGUCUGCAUGGAGCCGACCUUGAAAUACCACCCUUUAAUGUUUGAUGUUCUAACGUUGGCCCCUGAUCGGGGUUGCGGACAGUGUCUGGUGGGUAGUUUGACUGGGGCGGUCUCCUCCUAAAGAGUAACGGAGGAGCACGAAGGUUGGCUAAUCCUGGUCGGACAUCAGGAGGUUAGUGCAAUGGCAUAAGCCAGCUUGACUGCGAGCGUGACGGCGCGAGCAGGUGCGAAAGCAGGUCAUAGUGAUCCGGUGGUUCUGAAUGGAAGGGCCAUCGCUCAACGGAUAAAAGGUACUCCGGGGAUAACAGGCUGAUACCGCCCAAGAGUUCAUAUCGACGGCGGUGUUUGGCACCUCGAUGUCGGCUCAUCACAUCCUGGGGCUGAAGUAGGUCCCAAGGGUAUGGCUGUUCGCCAUUUAAAGUGGUACGCGAGCUGGGUUUAGAACGUCGUGAGACAGUUCGGUCCCUAUCUGCCGUGGGCGCUGGAGAACUGAGGGGGGCUGCUCCUAGUACGAGAGGACCGGAGUGGACGCAUCACUGGUGUUCGGGUUGUCAUGCCAAUGGCACUGCCCGGUAGCUAAAUGCGGAAGAGAUAAGUGCUGAAAGCAUCUAAGCACGAAACUUGCCCCGAGAUGAGUUCUCCCUGACUCCUUGAGAGUCCUGAAGGAACGUUGAAGACGACGACGUUGAUAGGCCGGGUGUGUAAGCGCAGCGAUGCGUUGAGCUAACCGGUACUAAUGAACCGUGAGGCUUAACCUUACAACGCCGAAG